rnacentral:rRNA from 2 species
UGGGGAAUCUUAGACAAUGGGGGAAACCCUGAUCUAGCCAUGCCGCGUGAGUGAUGAAGGCCUUAGGGUUGUAAAGCUCUUUCAGCUGGGAAGAUAAUGACGGUACCAGCAGAAGAAGCCCCGGCUAACUCCGUGCCAGCAGCCGCGGUAAUACGGAGGGGGCUAGCGUUAUUCGGAAUUACUGGGCGUAAAGCGCACGUAGGCGGACCAGAAAGUCAGAGGUGAAAUCCCGGAGCUCAACUUCGGAACUGCCUUUGAAACUCCUGGUCUUGAGUUCGAGAGAGGUGAGUGGAAUUCCGAGUGUAGAGGUGAAAUUCGUAGAUAUUCGGAGGAACACCAGUGGCGAAGGCGGCUCACUGGCUCGAUACUGACGCUGAGGUGCGAAAGCGUGGGGAGCAAACAGG